rnacentral:rRNA from 1 species
UACGUAGGGUGCGAGCGUUGUCCGGAAUUAUUGGGCGUAAAGGGCUCGUAGGCGGUUUGUCGCGUCGGGAGUGAAAUCCACUGGCUUAACUGGUGGCUUGCUUUCGAUACGGGCAGACUGGAGGUAUGCAGGGGAGAACGGAAUUCCUGGUGUAGCGGUGAAAUGCGCAGAUAUCAGGAAGGACACCCGUGGCUAAGGCGGCUCUCUAGUACGGUACUGACGCUGAGACGCGAAAGCGUGGGGAGCGAACAGG